rnacentral:tRNA from 1 species
GUCCCUGCAGCGCAAUGGAUAGCGUGUUGGACUUCUAAUCCAAAGGUCGUGAGUUCGAAUCCCACCUAGGAUA